GUUUUCCCUCUCUCGCGCUCACCCGACCCGAUGCUUCCUCCCUCUCUUCCUCUCUCGCGCGCGGAGGACUCGACACCGACGGAGCAGUGCUGUUCUCCGGCGAUCUUGUCUUUAUCGCGUCACCGAGGGGAAACAGCGCCAGAUCUCAAUGACUCCGACCAUCUACGACGGAGCGAUCCUCUCUUAGGCGGUGCUUGUGCGCGCGGUAGCGAUUCGGCGGAGCUAGGGCACGGUGAGGUCCCGCCCAAUUGAGUCCCUUUUCGCUUCUCCUCUUCGAUCUACUCACUAGAGGGCAAACUGGAUCAUCACCAGUUGGAAAGGAUCGCGCGACACCAUUGGAGGCGACCGAUUUAGGGGAAGACUUCGGAUCAACCUAGUGACAGAUUUCUCUGAGCAGAUCUUGAUCUUCUCCAUUUCUUGCGGCUGAUUGAGUCUCGGCUGAAGAAAUUAGGGUUCAAUUGAGGGCUUCUUGGAUAGCUGCCGGCAGAGGUCUUGUUGAGCUGUGAGAUUUGGAUUUUGCUACCAAACCUUAAGGUGUUGAUUUUGGGCAUCUAUUUGUGUUGGACCAGCUGUAAAUGGAGGGAGAAGCUCCAUUUUUCUCCACAGCAAACUUUGGGUUUCUUCAUCAAAGGGUGUGGAUUUUGUUUUGAAUCAAGGACUUUAUUUCGAGGCGAGCGUCUUGACGUGGGAUUGGAUUGUUUGACGCGGUCGACAGAUACGAGAUAUAUCAAGGCGGG